rnacentral:tRNA from 1 species
GGGAGUAUAGCUCAAUUGGCAGAGCGUGAACUUGUAGAUCACAGGUUUCGGGUUCGAGUCCCGAUGCUCCCACCA